rnacentral:tRNA from 4 species
GGGCCCGUCGUCUAGCGGUUAGGAUGUCGCCCUCACACGGCGGAGGUCCCGGGUUCGAAUCCCGGCGGGCCCACCA